rnacentral:misc_RNA from 1 species
GGAAGUAAGAGUCGUAACAAGGUUUCCGUAGGUGAACCUGCGGAAGGAUCAUUAUUGAAACUUCAUCCGGGGCGCCGCGGCCCUCAGCACCGGUGGAAACGCCGUGCUGCGGGGGCCGCGCGUGCACUCGUCCAAACCAAACCCCUGUGAACCUUACGGGAUGGCCCGGGUUAGCGCCCGGUGCCGUUCCGCUUUAUACAAACACUUAUCAAAGAAUGAACUGAAGGCGGUCUGACCGCUGGAUAACAAACUGAAACAACUUUCAACAACGGAUCUCUUGGCUCUC